AAGUCCGAACCGAACUUCCCCAUAAUUGAUGAUGCACGUGCUUGCACUGAAAGAUAUUUUAACAGGAAGUGAGUGGCGGACGGGUGAGUAACACUGUGCCGUAACCUGCCCAUAACCACGGGAUAACACCUGGAAACACAUGCUAAUACCGUAAAACAGAGAACACCACCUUGGUUUUCUUUUAACAGAUGGCUCUUCUAUCACUUCUGGAUGGACCCGCGGCGCAUUAUCUAGUUGGUGAGGUAACGGCUCACCAAGGCGAUCAUACGUAGCCGACCUAGAGAGGGUAAUCGGCCACAUUGGGCACUGAGACACUCGCCCAGACUCCUACGGGAGGCAACAUUACGGAAUCUUCCACAAUGGACACGAGUCUGAUGGAGCAACGCCACAAGAGUGAAGAAUGGUUUCAGCUCGUAUAUCUCUGUUGUUAUAUAAGAACGUGAGUGAUAGUAACUGUUCACCCAUUGACCGUAUUUAACCAGAAAACCACGGCUAACUACCUGCCAGCAUCCGCGGUAAUACAUAGGUGGCCAGCGUUAUCCGGAUUUAUUGGGCGUAAAGCGAGCUCUUGCGGUCUUUUAAGUCUAAUGUGAAAGCCUUCGGCUCAACCGAAGAAAUGCAUUGGACACUGGGAGACUUGAGUGCAGAAGAAGACCGUGGAACUCCAUGUGUAGCGGUGAAAUGCGUAGAAAUAUCGAAUGACGACAGGUGGCGAACGCGUGCUGUCUGGGUCUGUAACUGACGCUAAGUGCUCGAAAGCAUGGGUGAUCUAACAAGCAUUAGAUACCCCUGGCAGUCCAUGCCGUAAACGAUGAUUAUCUAAGUGGUUUUGGGCGGUUUCCGGCCCUUCACUGCCGCAGUUAAACGC
rnacentral:rRNA from 1 species